CCCCGCCCGCGGUUUCGCGCUAGCACUGCCCGCCGCUGCCUUCCUCCCAAGCUCCGCGGCUCGCGGCCCGGCCGGAACCGGCGCUCGCCCCGCCGCCGCCGCCGCCGCGCGUCUCCUUCCUAUCCCCGGCUGGCCUUCCUUCCUCCGGCUGCGACACCGAGGCUCUUCCUUCGGCGACUCCAGCUUUCGCUGCGGCCGCUUUCCCGCUAUUUCCUUAACAUAUUUUCUGAAUUUCUCCUUUAUUUUCAGAAGUGAUUGAGAUGUCUCACUUCCACCUUACUUUUGAUUUGCUCUUUCCCUCUGGAAAAGAUUCCCCCAGGAAAGCCAAACUCUAGAAGGAAAUACAGCAAAUCCAGUGAAAUCUUCAACUUUAAGUACAUCUUGUAUUCUUUUAAUUUUAAUGCGUUUAUGUCGUCUAACCUGGCAAAAGAACUCUCCCCUCAGUUUUUAUUUCCUCCUUUUAAAUACUGUUAUUUUCAACUUUCCAUCAAAUGCAUUUUGACGAGGGCUGAGAAUGUGUCCGGCAGCACGCAGCAAAUCAGAGGUUUUAUCUUACGCCUCCUGGGACGCUGCGGCUCUUGACACUACUACAAACCAGGACUAUAAACAUAAACAUGUGUCACUGUAACUGGGCAGUAGCUGCAGCCGUGGAAGGCGGUGAUUGGCUCCAGUGCUCCUAGAAGGAUUUGGGCUAAAGCCAGGGAACAGAACCAGAGGAUUCCCCUUCCAGAGACCAGCAGGCCCCACAUGUCUUAUCUCUCCCUUCUCCCCUCAUGGGUGCUCAGAAUUUCACUGUGGCUCCAGCAGCCUGUAGGAUCAAUUGUGAGAGGCCCUGAUGUCUCAGAGGAAAAUAUUGCAACAAAACAAGAUAAUUGGGGGAAAGGCGGCUGCAAGGCGGCUGACAUGGUCAACAUAUUUAUCAAAGAAACCCCCUGGCUUUUGAAGAAUUGUACUUUAUACAUCUGGAUCUGCACAUCCAGGCAAAGGUCAGAAAUAUCCGUUUAUUCUUUUAACCACACGGAUGUCUCUAUUUUUGGAAGAGCAAGGAAAUAUAUAAAUGCCUGGGUUGUAUUUGUGCUGUAG
ensembl:lncRNA